rnacentral:miRNA from 1 species
UUAGUCAGUACCCCAGCCUUCUGCCUUCCCUCAGAGCCAAGGGGUGGAAAACGUUGUAGGGAAUUCUUAGUUACAGCUGAGCCCUACCCUUUACCGUGGGAGUGGGGAAAACUCAGUGCAGUCUGCCA